rnacentral:lncRNA from 1 species
UCAAUGGGAUCCAGGAGGGUGGUCUCUUGUUCAUUGGAGGAGUCAACCUGCAAAGGAAGCUAUUUAUCAAAACGAGAACUCGGGGUCGAGUUCUUUUGAGGUAGAGGAGACUGAUGUAGGAGGAUUUGUUCUGUAUAUUAUUAUUUUAGUUAGAUUUAGUUUUAUUAUAUUUUAGGCUGAUUUCUUAUUUUUAUAUUUCACCUAGAUUAGUUAUUUUUAUAUUUUAGGUAGAUUUGUAAUUUUUAUUUAGCUAGGUUUGUUGUUUUUAUUUUUACAAUCUUUUAGGAGAUUUGUUAAUUUUAUUUUUCACUCCUAUUUAAACUAAAUUAUUGUAGCCUUGAAGAAAAACUUUUGAUUCAAUAAAAAUUCAGAGAAUAUUCUCAAAUUUGGUGGAUUCCAAAUUACUCUUUCGGUGGACUCCGAAACCCUAUUUUGACAAGUUUGUGUUUGCGGCUUGUCUUUAUCCAUUAGGUUUAGCGUUUUGCUAACCUAGCGCUUCCGUACUGCGUCAAAAA